GGUGAGGUGGAUGAGUGGUCGAAGUCAGCUCACUGCUAACGAGUCGGACGAGAAAUCGUCUCGGGGGUUCGAAUCCCCCCCUCACCG
rnacentral:tRNA from 1 species